rnacentral:rRNA from 1 species
GACGGAGGAUGCAAACGUUAUCCGGAAUGAUUGGGCGUAAAGCGUCCGCAGGUGGCAGUUCAAGUCUGCUGUCAAAGACCGGGGCUUAACUUCGGAAAGGCAGUGGAAACUGAACAGCUAGAGUAUGGUAGGGGCAGAGGGAAUUCCUGGUGUAGCGGUGAAAUGCGUAGAGAUCAGGAAGAACAUCGGUGGCGAAGGCGCUCUGCUGGACCGGAACUGACGCUGAGGCGCGAAAGCGUGGGGAGCAAACAGG